GAACAUGACCCACGAACCAUGAAAAAUGGCCUAGCCUGGGAUAUUGAUAAUUUCCGUAUAUAAUAAGCUUCGGGAUAUAGGCUUUCUAGAAAUGUUUUUCUUUUUUUCAUAUAUUCUAUACUUUUUUGUUAAUAUGACGUUGAAUAUUGUGGUAUUUAAUGUUAAAAAAUUAACAUUUCGGGAUACACGUCACAACAAUAAACCUCCAAUGACCAUGUACAAUGUACAUGAACCUAUAAAUCUCUGAAUAUAUCAAGUUAUAUGCACUCAAAUAGCUAGAAUGGCUUAUUCAAUGAUCAUAAUAAGCAUUUUUGACCAAAUUUGGGAAAUAGAAAUAAGAAAUAUUUUGGAAAUGAUGUUCAAAGCCGUGAUUGUUCAACUUUACUUUUAAAUUAUUGUUACUUGAAUUUUAAAAUACUGAAAUAAGAAGAAUAAAUAUAGUAUGUAGUUUAUUUACAUGGUGAAAGAAGUGAAUCAUUGGAACAAUUCUGUUUCAUAUCAUAUUCCAUAGUUUUUGGGUUUUUUGUUUUCUUUUUUUUUUAGUAUUAAAACGACCGAGUAUCGAAAGCAAUGGUAACGAAAUAAGUUGACACCGCGUCUCGUCAAAACAUGUUCAAUUCGAAUUUACUCGGAAUUACACGUUCAACGAGCAUUUGCUGUGAAACCUGAUUAAAGGAAAAUUACUGUAGACACCUAAUAGUUUACAUAUGUCAGCAAGUCCUCAAAAGCAGCUUUAGGGGUUCCCAGGAGAUUCUGAUGCUCACUGUUAGACUUUCACUGUUGUCAAAAUCCAACCUUAUUUUCUCUUUUCUCAAAACUUCAGCUCUCAAAAACUUGUUUGAUUAAUUAUGUCACUCCUGUUUUGUUGAACAUGGUGUUGUCAGCAAUAGGUUCAAGUUCUUCUAUGUCUUGUUGUAGGUGAUUUGUACAGAAGCGAGCCCCGGCAGGAAUGAUGGCCUCUUUUGAAAUGAAGAUUUCAUGCCUUACUCCUACUGGGACUACAACUAACUUUGGACCUGGUCACUCGCAGAUACAGCAUGAAGUGUACCCUCUUGAUGUACAUGGGGAUGGGAGUGAUACAGAAGGGGGACUAAUUGGAAGAACUGCUGCUGCUGCUGGUGGUGCUGGACUGUCUUGAAUCUGUUGCCUAACCGACUUGAUAUUCUUCUGUUUAAUAUGGGAGCAACACACACACUCUGGCAUAUAAUGCACAGAAAAUCAUGAUCAGAUGGUGCCCUCCCUAUCAGAGUGGUGAUUACUGUCCUAUAUUUCUUUGAAAUCCUGGAUCUGUGUUUUGGUUUUACUCUCCAUGGACAGUUGAAACAGAGAAAGAAUUAGGGACCACUCCUUGGCAUAUCUGAAAUAUUUAUGUCAUAUACAUAUAAUUAAAAUAUACAAUUUGGGUUGGACGAAAAUCUUAUCUUCAUGUUAAAACCCAUUAGCCUAGGUUAUUUUUCCUAAAAUCUAAUUAUAAAUCAAUUAACUUGAUAAUUAAUGCUUGGUGAAUCAAUUAAUAAAUUGUAUUCAAAAACUUGGAAUUAUUUUUUUUCCACUAAUAAACUGAAAAUGUGUAUC